AUUGAAAGCUGGCGGCAUGCUUUACACAUGCAAGUCGGACGAGUGGCGAACGGGUGAGUAACGCAUCGGAACGGACCGAGAAAUGGGGGAUAACUGUCCGAAAGGACAGCAAAUAACGAAGAUUAUUCGAGCGGCCGUUGUCUGAUUAGGUGGUUGGCGGGGUAAAGGCUCACCAAGGAGACGAUCAGGAGCGGGUCUGAGCGGAUGAUCCGCCACACUGGGACUGAGACACGGCCCAGACUCCUACGUGACGCAGCCGUGGGGAAUUUUGGACAAUGGGCGCAAGCCUGAUCCAGCCAUGCCGCUUGUCUGAAGAAGGCCUUCGGGUUUUAAAGGCCUUUUGUCAGGGAAGCGGUACCUGAAGAAUAAGCACCGGCUAACUACGUGCCAGCAGCCUCGGUAAUUC
rnacentral:rRNA from 1 species